UUAAGCGACUAAGCGUACACGGUGGAUGCCCUGGCAGUCAGAGGCGAUGAAGGACGUGCUAAUCUGCGAAAAGCGCCGGCGAGGUGAUAUGAACCUUUGACCCGGCGAUGUCCGAAUGGGGAAACCCAGUGUGUUCCGACACACUAUCGUUAACUGAAUACAUAGGUUAACGAGGCGAACCGGGGGAACUGAAACAUCUAAGUACCCCGAGGAAAAGAAAUCAACCGAGAUUCCCCCAGUAGCGGCGAGCGAACGGGGAGCAGCCCGGAGUCUGAAUCAGCUUGUGUGUUAGUGGAACGGUCUGGAAAGUCCGACGGUACAGGGUGAUAGUCCCGUACACGAAAGCACACAGGUUGUGAACUCGAAGAGUAGGGCGGGACACGUGGUAUCCUGUCUGAAUAUGGGGGGACCAUCCUCCAAGGCUAAAUACUCCUGACUGACCGAUAGUGAACCAGUACCGUGAGGGAAAGGCGAAAAGAACCCCGGCGAGGGGAGUGAAAAAGAACCUGAAACCGUGUACGUACAAGCAGUGGGAGCCUACUUGUUAGGUGACUGCGUACCUUUUGUAUAAUGGGUCAGCGACUUAUAUUCUGUAGCAAGGUUAACCGUAUAGGGGAGCCGAAGGGAAACCGAGUCUUAACUGGGCGUUAAGUUGCAGGGUAUAGACCCGAAACCCGGUGAUCUAGCCAUGGGCAGGUUGAAGGUUGGGUAACACUAACUGGAGGACCGAACCGACUAAUGUUGAAAAAUUAGCGGAUGACCUGUGGCUGGGGGUGAAAGGCCAAUCAAACCGGGAGAUAGCUGGUUCUCCCCGAAAGCUAUUUAGGUAGCGCCUCGUGAACUCAUCUUCGGGGGUAGAGCACUGUUUCGGCUAGGGGGCCAUCCCGGCUUACCAACCCGAUGCAAACUACGAAUACCGAAGAAUGUUAUCACGGGAGACACACGGCGGGUGCUAACGUCCGUCGUGAAGAGGGAAACAACCCAGACCGCCAGCUAAGGUCCCAAAGUCAUGGUUAAGUGGGAAACGAUGUGGGAAGGCACAGACAGCCAGGAUGUUGGCUUAGAAGCAGCCAUCAUUUAAAGAAAGCGUAAUAGCUCACUGGUCGAGUCGGCCUGCGCGGAAGAUGUAACGGGGCUAAACCAUGCACCGAAGCUGCGGCAGCGACGCUUAUGCGUUGUUGGGUAGGGGAGCGUUCUGUAAGCCGUUGAAGGUGGCCUGUGAGGGUUGCUGGAGGUAUCAGAAGUGCGAAUGCUGACAUAAGUAACGAUAAAGCGGGUGAAAAGCCCGCUCGCCGGAAGACCAAGGGUUCCUGUCCAACGUUAAUCGGGGCAGGGUGAGUCGACCCCUAAGGCGAGGCCGAAAGGCGUAGUCGAUGGGAAACAGGUUAAUAUUCCUGUACUUGGUGUUACUGCGAAGGGGGGACGGAGAAGGCUAUGUUAGCCGGGCGACGGUUGUCCCGGUUUAAGCAUGUAGGCGGAGGUUCCAGGUAAAUCCGGUACCUUUUUAACGCUGAGGUGUGAUGACGAGGCACUACGGUGCUGAAGUAACAAAUGCCCUGCUUCCAGGAAAAGCCUCUAAGCAUCAGGUAACACGAAAUCGUACCCCAAACCGACACAGGUGGUCAGGUAGAGAAUACCAAGGCGCUUGAGAGAACUCGGGUGAAGGAACUAGGCAAAAUGGUGCCGUAACUUCGGGAGAAGGCACGCUGAUAUGUAGGUGAAGCCCCUGCGGGUGGAGCUGAAAUCAGUCGAAGAUACCAGCUGGCUGCAACUGUUUAUUAAAAACACAGCACUGUGCAAACACGAAAGUGGACGUAUACGGUGUGACGCCUGCCCGGUGCCGGAAGGUUAAUUGAUGGGGUUAGCGGUAACGCGAAGCUCUUGAUCGAAGCCCCGGUAAACGGCGGCCGUAACUAUAACGGUCCUAAGGUAGCGAAAUUCCUUGUCGGGUAAGUUCCGACCUGCACGAAUGGCGUAAUGAUGGCCAGGCUGUCUCCACCCGAGACUCAGUGAAAUUGAACUCGCUGUGAAGAUGCAGUGUACCCGCGGCAAGACGGAAAGACCCCGUGAACCUUUACUAUAGCUUGACACUGAACACUGGUCCUUGAUGUGUAGGAUAGGUGGGAGGCUUUGAAGCGUGGACGCCAGUCUGCGUGGAGCCGACCUUGAAAUACCACCCUUUAAUGGCUGGUGUUCUAACGUAGACCCGUAAUCCGGGUUGCGGACAGUGUCUGGUGGGUAGUUUGACUGGGGCGGUCUCCUCCCAAAGAGUAACGGAGGAGCACGAAGGUUAGCUAAUCCUGGUCGGACAUCAGGAGGUUAGUGCAAUGGCAUAAGCUAGCUUGACUGCGAGAGUGACGGCUCGAGCAGGUGCGAAAGCAGGUCAUAGUGAUCCGGUGGUUCUGAAUGGAAGGGCCAUCGCUCAACGGAUAAAAGGUACUCCGGGGAUAACAGGCUGAUACCGCCCAAGAGUUCAUAUCGACGGCGGUGUUUGGCACCUCGAUGUCGGCUCAUCACAUCCUGGGGCUGAAGUAGGUCCCAAGGGUAUGGCUGUUCGCCAUUUAAAGUGGUACGCGAGCUGGGUUUAGAACGUCGUGAGACAGUUCGGUCCCUAUCUGCCGUGGGCGCUGGAGAAUUGAGGGGGGCUGCUCCUAGUACGAGAGGACCGGAGUGGACGCAUCACUGGUGUUCGGGUUGUCAUGCCAAUGGCACUGCCCGGUAGCUAAAUGCGGAAGAGAUAAGUGCUGAAAGCAUCUAAGCACGAAACUUGCCCCGAGAUGAGUUCUCCCUGAGACUAUAAGUCUCCUGAAGGAACGUUGAAGACGACGACGUUGAUAGGUCGGGUGUGUAAGCGCAGCGAUGCGUUGAGCUAACCGAUACUAAUGAACCGUGAGGCUUAACCU
rnacentral:rRNA from 1 species